rfam:Macrostomum lignano unitig_10972, whole genome shotgun sequence.
GGGUAGGGCAAAUGCCUGGCGGUUACUUCGCAACUUAAACCGAUUACCAGACUGUCCUUCUGUUCCAAUCGAACUCAAUACACCCGCUGGCGCUAUCCUACUCUUUU